GUGAGGAAUAUUGGUCAAUGGGCGCAAGCCUGAACCAGCCAUGCCGCGUGCAGGAAGACGGUCCUAUGGAUUGUAAACUGCUUUUAUUUGGGAAUAAACUCCGGUACGUGUACCGGCCUGAAGGUACCAAAUGAAUAAGCACCGGCUAACUCCGUGCCAGCAGCCGCGGUAAUACGGAGGGUGUAAGCGUUAUCCGGAAUCAUUGGGUUUAAAGGGUCCGCAGGCGGUCUUAUAAGUCAGUGGUGAAAGCCUACAGCUCAACUGUAGAACUGCCAUUGAUACUGUAGGACUUGAAUUCGAUCGAAGUGGGCGGAAUGUGACAUGUAGCGGUGAAAUGCUUAGAUAUGUCACAGAACACCGAUAGCGAAGGCAGCUCACUAGGUCUGGAUUGACGCUCAGGGACGAAAGCGUGGGGAGCAAACAGGAUUAGAUACCCCGGUAGUCC
rnacentral:rRNA from 1 species